CAGCCUGCCGCGGGAAUACGUAGGGUGCGAGCGUUGUCCGGAAUUACUGGGCGUAAAGAGCUCGUAGGCGGUUUGUCGCGUCGUCUGUGAAAUUCUGCAGCUUAACUGUAGGCGUGCAGGCGAUACGGGCAGACUUGAGUACUACAGGGGAGACUGGAAUUCCUGGUGUAGCGGUGAAAUGCGCAGAUAUCAGGAGGAACACCGGUGGCGAAGGCGGGUCUCUGGGUAGUAACUGACGCUGAGGAGCGAAAGCGUGGGUAGCGAACAGGAUUAGAUACCCCAGUAGUCCCUGUCUCUUAUU
rnacentral:rRNA from 1 species